UCUCUGAUAGUAUAUCGGUUAGUACACGCGCCUGUCAUCACGACUUUGGAUCUAAAGACCGCGCGAAAGCUGGGUUCGACUCCCAGUCAGAGAG